GUCGAUGCCAAGAGGGUCGCGAUGGGGAACCGGGGGGCUAGGGCAGUACCUUAGGCCCAAUCGAGUCGCCCCUGCUGUCUUUCCGAAGCAGGCACAGAUUCCGUUCGCAGCCUUCGGCAUGGCAGAACCUGAGUCAUUGGUGCCUGAUACGGGUGCUGUAUUUACAUUUGGAAAAACUAAAUUUGCUGAAAACAUUCCUAGCAAAUUCUGGUUUAAAAAUGACGUACCCAUAUGUCUUUCAUGUGGAGAUGAACAUACUGCUAUUGUUACAGGAAAUAAUAAAUUGUACAUGUUUGGCAGUAACAACUGGGGCCAGUUAGGAUUAGGAUCAAAAUCAGCUAUCAGCAAGCCAACAUGUAUCAAAGCUCUUAAGCCUGAAAAGGUGAAACUUGCUGCGUGUGGAAGAAACCAUACCUUAGUUUCAACAGAUACUGGUGGUGUAUAUGCAGCUGGUGGAAAUAAUGAAGGCCAAUUGGGGCUUGGUGACACUGAUGACAGAGAUACCUUUCAUCAAAUUGGCUUCUUUACACCUAGUGAUAUCAUUAAACAGCUCUCUGCUGGUGCUAAUACAUCAGCUGCUCUAACUGAGGAUGGAAAACUUUUUAUGUGGGGAGACAAUUCUGAAGGGCAGAUCGGUUUGAAAAAUAAAAGUAAUGUAUGUAUCCCUCACGAAGUGACUGUCGGUAAGCCAAUUUCAUGGAUCUCCUGUGGAUAUUACCAUUCAGCUUUUGUAACAACGGAUGGGGAGCUGUACACAUUUGGAGAACCUGAGAAUGGAAAGUUGGGCCUUCCCAACCAGCUGCUGAUCAAUCACAGAUCUCCCCAGCGUGUGCUGGGGAUUCCUGACAAGGUGAUUCAAGUAGCGUGUGGUGGAGGGCACACUGUGGUUC
rnacentral:lncRNA from 1 species